rnacentral:tRNA from 1 species
GGCUGGAUAGCUCAGUAGUUAGAGCAUCUUGGGAUUUCACCAGUAGUCCUGGGUUCAAUCCCCAGUCUGGUCA